rnacentral:rRNA from 1 species
AGUUGGUAAGGUAACGGCUUACCAAGGCGACGAUCAGUAGCCGACCUGAGAGGGUGAUCGGCCACAUUGGAACUGAGACACGGUCCAAACUCCUACGGGAGGCAGCAGUGGGGAAUAUUGCACAAUGUGCGAAAGCCUGAUGCAGCAACGCCGCGUUAGUGAUGAAGGACUUCAGGUAGUAAAACUCUGUACUCCAGGACAAUCAUGACGGUACUUGAGGAGGAAGCCCCGGCUAACUACGUGCCAGCAGCCGCGGUAAUACGUAGGGGGCUAGCGUUAUCCGGAUUUACUGGGCGUAAAGGGUGCGUAGGCGGUCUUUCAAGUCAGGAGUGAAAGGCUACGGCUCAACCGUAGUAAGCUCUUGAAACUGGGAGACUUGAGUGCAGGAGAGGAGAGUGGAAUUCCUAGUGUAGCGGUGAAAUGCGUAGAUAUUAGGAGGAACACCAGUUGCGAAGGCGGCUCUCUGGACUGU